AGAGUUUGAUCCUGGCUCAGAACGAACGCUGGCGGCAGGCCUAACACAUGCAAGUCGAACGCAUCCUUCGGGGUGAGUGGCAGACGGGUGAGUAACACGUGGGAACGUGCCUUUCGGUUCGGGAUAACCCAGGGAAACUUGGGCUAAUACCGGAUACGUCCUUUGGGAGAAAGAUUUAUCGCCGAAAGAUCGGCCCGCGUCUGAUUAGCUAGUUGGUGGGGUAAUGGCCUACCAAGGCGACGAUCAGUAGCUGGUCUGAGAGGAUGAUCAGCCACACUGGGACUGAGACACGGCCCAGACUCCUACGGGAGGCAGCAGUGGGGAAUAUUGGACAAUGGGCGCAAGCCUGAUCCAGCCAUGCCGCGUGAGUGAUGAAGGCCCUAGGGUUGUAAAGCUCUUUCGGCGGGGACGAUAAUGACGGUACCCGCAGAAGAAGCCCCGGCUAACUUCGUGCCAGCAGCCGCGGUAAUACGAAGGGGGCUAGCGUUGUUCGGAAUCACUGGGCGUAAAGGGCGCGUAGGCGGCCAUUCAAGUCGGGGGUGAAAGCCUGUGGCUCAACCACAGAAUUGCCUUCGAUACUGUUUGGCUUGAGACCGGAAGAGGUAAGUGGAACUGCGAGUGUAGAGGUGAAAUUCGUAGAUAUUCGCAAGAACACCAGUGGCGAAGGCGGCUUACUGGUCCGGUUCUGACGCUGAGGCGCGAAAGCGUGGGGAGCAAACAGGAUUAGAUACCCUAGUAGUCC
rnacentral:rRNA from 1 species